GUGUCGGGCUUCGCCCUGUUCUGUUAGCGGCAUUUAUUCCUCAGCAGAAAGCUUGUUGCUCCAUUUCCACCUUCAGUAACCCCCUCACCUCUGGAACCAUCGGACUGCCACAUCCAAGCCUUCUAGCCUGCUCCCUCUAAUCUCCGUGCUCACACUAUGCUGAUCUGUCCUCCAAGCCCUAUCUGUACCCCGUUCUAGAAGUUCUUUCUCAACCUCACUUUCUAGCAGCCACCUAGCCCAAUCCAGCUCCAGCGGUAUCCCAACCUACAGGACUCCCCAGAGUUCUGAACAUGUACGCUCUCUCCUGUGCCGCCGUAUAUGCAUAGUGAAUAGAUCCAAAUCUGUACAACUGAAGUCCACCUCGGCUGAUGCAUGCAGGAACCCAACGACUUGUUCCUGGUCCAGGCUCAGUAGGCGGAGGCUUCCUCGGUUGGUCAGCAAAUAUGUGUGAGCAGUGUGCAAAUGAGUCCCCAGAACUUAAGGUCUUUGCAUGAAAGUGCUAUAAACAUCACCACUGACCGAUGCUUUUAUGCGAAGUGGAACCUGCAGGAUACAGUCAUCAAGAGCAAACAAGUAAAGGAAAACGUGUGUGCACGGAAUUCAGGAGAUGCUCACUCACCCAGGCCACCAAGCCUGGGGUUCUCUGUCACAGUUCAGAAACGUGUCCGCCACAGACUGCAGAAUCUAACUGCUCUCAUGCUGCUCAGCUUGUAAGAAGUCUGGUCUACCUGCUGUCUGCCUGCACCACAUGUGAGCAGCCAUCCUUUCCCCUCAGCCUAUUUUCCAGAAUAGGGCAUCAGAUCUAAUUACAGGCGUUUGUGAGCCAUCAUGUGAUUGCUGGGAUUUGAACUCAGGACCUUCAGAAGAGCAGUUAGUGCUCUUACCCGCUGAACCAUCUCUCCAGCCCUCUCCUCAGCCUGUUUUAAAAGUUAUUAGAUAAUUUCAGAAAUAUCUGUUUGAGGAACUUGGAUUUGACUCCUAGCUAAUCAAAAAGUAAUCAUUGUCAGGCUGUGGGGAUCAGUGGUUAGAGCAAUUGCUGUCCAGGGCCCAGGGUGGGUUUCCAGCACCCACAAAAUGUCUCAUGGCCAUCAGCAACUCCAGUUCUAGGGGCAUCCAACUCCAUCUUCUGGCCUCAGAAGGUACCUCGUGCGUGUGGUACCCUAGUGCAGGCAAAACGCUCGUGUGCAUAGGAGGAAAAUAAAUCCACCUUUU
rnacentral:lncRNA from 1 species